CUGACCCUUUCUCUCUCUGCAGGUGGCUCCGCUGCCGGAUGGGAGUGUCCCAGUGUGCUGGAUGAAGCUGGCGCAUGCACCAUGUCAUCAUGUGUCUCUAGCCAGCCCAGCAGCAACCGGGCCGCCCCCCAGGAUGAGCUGCGGGGCAGGGGCAGCAGCAGCAGCCAAAGCCAGAAGCCCUGUGAGGCCCUGCGGGGCCUCUCAUCCUUGAGCAUUCACCUGGGUAUGGAGUCCUUCAUUGUGGUCACCGAGUGUGAGCCGGGCUGUGCUGUGGACCUUGGCUUGGCCCGGGACCGGCCCCUGGAGGCCGAUGGCCAAGAGGUCCCCCUCGACACCUCCAGGUCCCAGGCCCGACCCCACCUCUCCGGUCGCAAGCUUUCUCUGCAAGAGCAGUCCCAGGGUGGGCUGGCAGCCGGCGGCAGCCUGGACAUGAACGGACGCUGCAUCUGCCCGUCCCUGCCCUACUCGCCCGUCAGCUCCCCUCAGUCCUCGCCUCGGCUGCCCCGGCGGCCGACAGUGGAGUCUCACCAUGUCUCCAUCACGGGUAUGCAGGACUGUGUGCAGCUGAAUCAGUAUACCCUGAAGGAUGAAAUUGGAAAGGGCUCAUAUGGUGUCGUCAAGUUGGCCUACAAUGAAAAUGACAAUACCUACUAUGCAAUGAAGGUGCUGUCCAAAAAGAAGCUGAUCCGGCAGGCCGGCUUUCCACGUCGCCCCCCACCCCGAGGCACCCGGCCAGCUCCUGGAGGCUGCAUCCAGCCCAGGGGCCCCAUUGAGCAGGUGUACCAGGAAAUCGCCAUCCUCAAGAAGCUGGACCACCCCAAUGUGGUGAAGCUGGUGGAGGUCCUGGAUGACCCCAACGAGGACCAUCUGUACAUGGUGUUCGAACUGGUCAACCAAGGGCCCGUGAUGGAAGUGCCCACCCUCAAACCACUCUCUGAAGACCAGGCCCGUUUCUACUUCCAGGAUCUGAUCAAAGGCAUCGAGUACUUACACUACCAGAAGAUCAUCCACCGUGACAUCAAACCUUCCAACCUUCUGGUCGGAGAAGAUGGGCACAUCAAGAUUGCUGACUUCGGUGUGAGCAAUGAGUUCAAGGGCAGUGACGCGCUCCUCUCCAACACCGUGGGCACACCUGCCUUCAUGGCGCCCGAGUCACUCUCCGAGACCCGCAAGAUCUUCUCUGGGAAGGCUUUGGAUGUUUGGGCCAUGGGCGUGACACUAUACUGCUUUGUCUUUGGCCAGUGCCCAUUCAUGGACGAGCGGAUCAUGUGUUUACACAGUAAGAUCAAGAGUCAGGCCCUGGAAUUUCCAGACCAGCCUGACAUAGCUGAGGACUUGAAGGACCUGAUCACCCGUAUGCUGGACAAGAACCCUGAGUCAAGGAUCGUGGUGCCGGAAAUCAAGCUGUCUUGCAUGCCUGACCACAGGCCCUCGCCUCUCCCUCCUGCAUGCCCUCGUGGCUCCGCUCGCUGGCAGGGCCCUCCGGGAGCCAGCCGCAUCUGCCCCUCACCCCUCCUGUCGUUCGUUGAAGCUGCACCCCUGGGUCACGAGGCACGGGGCGGAGCCGUUGCCGUCGGAGGAUGAGAACUGCACGCUGGUCGAAGUGACUGAAGAGGAGGUCGAGAACUCAGUCAAACACAUUCCCAGCCUGGCGACCGUGAUCCUGGUGAAGACCAUGAUACGUAAACGCUCCUUUGGGAACCCAUUCGAGGGCAGCCGGCGGGAGGAGCGUUCGCUGUCAGCGCCUGGAAACCUGCUCACGAAGCAAGGCAGCGAAGACAACCUCCAGGGCACCGACCCGCCCCCCGUGGGGGAGGAGGAAGUGCUCUUGUGAGAGGCAGUCCCUGCGUGGAAAGUUGCCGGGCCCCCGCCCCCGGCUCCCCCGCACGCAUGCAUCCACCGGGGCCGGAGGAGGCGAUGGAGCCCGAGUAGCUGCCUGGAUCGCUCGACCUCGCAUGCGCGCCGCAUCGCCUCUCGGGGGCUGCUGCACCGCGUUUCCAUAGCAGCAUGUCCUACGGAAACCCAGCACGUGUGUAGAGCCUCGAUCGUCAUCUCUCGUUAUUUGUUUUUUUCCUUUGUUGUUUUAAAGGGGCCAAAAAAAAAAAAAAAAAAAAAAAAAAAAAACAAAGGACUUGACUCCAUGACGUCGACCUUGGCCGCUGGCUGGCUGAACAGGCGGGUGUGAGGAGUUGCAGACCCAAACCCAUGUGCAUUUUGGGACAAUUGCUUUUUAAAACGUUUUUAUGCCAAAAACCCUUCAUUGUGAUUUUCAGAACCGUGUCAGAUAUACCAAGUGACUGUGUGUGGGGUUUGACAACUGUGGAAAGGUGAGCAGAAAACUCCGGUGGUCUGAGGCCAUGGAGGUGUUUGCUGCAUUUGAUAGGGAGUAGGGGGCUAGAUGUGGCUCCUUGUACAAACCCCAAACCAUGGCACCUUCCAGAGCCAUGGUCUCAAGAAGUCAGAGCAGGGCUGGCCCUCAGUAGCUGCAGGGAGCUUUGAUGCAACUUAUUUGUAAGAAGGAGUUUUAAAUUUUUUAAUGGGUAGAAUUGUCAGGAAGGUAGAAAGGGCUUGAAAUUUAAUAAGUGCUUCUGGAAGGGGAUUUUCCAAGCCUGGAAGGGUAUUCAGCAGCUGUGGUGGGAAAAAGUUUCUCCUGAAAGACUGAACGUGUUUCUUCAUGACAGCUGCUCAAAGUAGGUUUCUGAGAAAGUUGACCGAGCUCUGGUAAAUCUCUUUGUCAAAUUACAAAAACUUCAGGGUGAAAUCCUAUGCUUCCAUGUACAUUACAUGGCUUAAGAUUAAACAAAAAAAUUUUCAAGCCUAACUAGACUGAACUCUAAAGCACAGUAGUUCAGAAAUCAUUUAGAGCUUCCAGGAUAUAUUUCACGGCUUCAGACAUGUGAUCAGUUAGAGCCGAUGAAAUCUGUGCCCACCUGUAUAUAUUAGCAGCUUAGCUAGUUCAUAACCUGUGUAUUCUAAAGACUGCUAAGGUUUUGUUUUCAUUUUAAAUCCUAGCUGAUUGUUGUGGUCAAUGAAAUAUCCAGUUUCUGGAGGGCCAGUUGGGAAAUGCUUUCACUGGACCGAAAGACAAAUGUUCAUCGUGAGGAUCUGAGCUUCCCUAGACUCCACACAGUAACCUUGGGACACCCUUCUAGAGAAGAUUGUUGAAACCCACAGCACUCCUCGGGCUAUGAGGAAACCAGGGCUUGGCACAGGAAGUUCCCCUUUGUAGCUAAAAGUCCAGCAAGAAAGGGUUCAUCUUUUUGACUUCCAAUUAAUAUUGGGAAGUUUGGUUGAGGUUCAAGUGUGACUCCUUUCAGAGUCACAGGUAGGGGAGUGUAAAGUUGGGGGGAGGAAAGCUGGAAGGACUCUGGGAGAUUCCCAGCUCUGCUUUCCAGGGCUUGGCAGAAUCUGGACUGGGGAAAGAUGGCACCGGGAAACUCUGCUUCCCCGACGUUUACAUCUGAUCAGCCCUGGUGUGAGGACUUCUCAGACAAAGGCAAGACCGUGUGCCCCUGCCCAGCCCAUUCAUGGAGCCCUGGGCCUUCUUGGCUUCCAUAGAUCCUAAGCUCUUGACUAUAGUUUAGCCAGACUUGUUUUGCUAUCUUAUAAGCAGUUCAGAAUGAGGGAAUGCUGGUUUUGAAGAGCAAAGGACAGGUAGCCUAGAGAGGGCCAUCUGGCCUGUUUGCUGGGUCUUUGUAACCCAGCACUUCCUCUUGCCCUCCUGACUUUACGUUUAUGGGGAGAGGACUCAAUAGCUCCACCCCUUCUGGCACCAGAUGGGGCUUGGGUAGUUUGCAAUAAGCACCUUGCAGAGGUUAAAGCCUUGGCGGGUCCCUAGUCUUAGGCCCAGCCUGCUUGUGUGGGCUCUGGCCUGGCCCGGUGGCUGGCCCAGGGGGCGGCAGUGCUCAGAGCUUCUGCAGGGCUUCUCUUGUUUACACAGCUGCAUCAGACAAUGCCAUUUCUCCCCACCAUGGAACCUUCCAUCUAAGAUUUCUUCCAGGGAAUGCCAGCAAUCAGGCAGCACCCAGCUGUGGGGGCAGUGGGGUGGGGGAGGCCCACAUUGAUGACUUUUUUUUUUUUUUUAACGAAGAAACACCAAAGCAAGCUGUGGAAAGGACCCACCCCUCAUGAAAAGGAUAAGCCAAGAUAGCUGUAAACACAAAGCAUUUGAGCUGCCACUCUGUUGGGGCACAUUGAUUUUUCAAAAGCCAGCUCUGUCAGGAAAGGAGGUGCUGUUAUGAGCAGCUCUUCCAGGGGGGCAAAGAGGAUGCCCAUAAUUUCUUCCAUUGCUGGCUCAUCUGUGGGACCAAUUUGGUGUAAGCAACCUGUGGCCUGCACCCGUGGCCUCGAAGGAAGCACAAACCCUCCAUCCACUUCCCAUUUCCUCUACCCUUUUCCACCUCCCCCUUCUAUCCCACCAGCUGCCAGUGGCUCCCAGAAAGCCUUAUUGAGCCCCUUGUUGACACUUAGGGCUGCAGAGGCCUCUCCCCACUGGCUUGGCCUUUCCUGAGAGGCAGGGCUCCCAUCCUCAGAGCCUUUCUGGAACAAGGAGAAUGCCUGUGCAGGUGGACACAGGCCUGGCCUGUCGCUGUCACUUGUCUUCCAGCAGGGAGCUUCACGUUGCUGAGUGGAAGAACCAUGACCUCCACUUGCUUCCAAGGUGCUAGGGAAGUUUCAGGGUACGCUGGUUCCCCUCUCCAGCUGGAGGCCGAGUUUCUGGGGACUGCAGACUUUUCUACUCUGUGAUCAAUUCAACGCCCGAUGCUUCUGUUUCAUUCCUGACCCUUUCUACUAUGCAUUUUCCUUUUAUCAGGUGUAUAAAGUUAAAUACUGUGUAUUUAUCACUAAAAAGUACAUGAACUUAAGAGAAAAAUAAGCCUUUCGUGUUUUUCCACAGAUGUUGAAGCUUCUCUGUAAAGUUGAAAUAAACAGCAAAAUGGUGC